UGGUACUAAGAUCUCUGUGAUAAAAAUAUUUUUCAAUGGGAUGAAGGUCAGUCUAGUUCUCGCCGUCAUCAUCGCUGUGGGGUCAUCUAGCGACCGCUACCAGGGAGGACCAAGGAGCAGACCGGACAUCACCUGCUGUUUGGUCGAGGUGGGGUCAACCCGAACAUGAACAACCUCAUCUUUGGCAAGAGGUCAUUUCUGGGCAGGUCAAGGUCGAGCUCUGCUGUAGGCAGGUUGUACAAGCCGUCCAUGCACGACCUCAAGCGAGCCUGUCUGAGUCUCCUGUCUUACCUGGAUACAUUCAAGCCGAAGUCGAGACCACAGGCAGUAGGACAUAAGUCACAGGCAGUAGGACUUUAGUCACAGGCAGUAGGACAUAAGUCACAUACAGGAGGACUUUAGUCACUGACCACAGGUGAUAGGACAUGAGUCACACAGCGCAGGACAUUGUCACAAACCACAG